rnacentral:lncRNA from 1 species
GUGGGAUCGAUAUCCGACAGACUUAUAUCUAUCUAUUAUACUUGCAUCAAUAGUUUACACUUGCACAUUAUUGUUGUAACAUUAAAUAGCCGAUCAAGUUUUGGCGUUGUUGUUGGGGAUGGCAUUUUUUUGAUAUUUAAUUUUGUUUUUGCACUUUAUUUUUUUAUAUAAUAUUUAGUUGCCACUAAAUUUUUUCUUUUUGUCACCAUUUUCACAUUUUAUUUUAGGUGUUUGAUGACCCGAAUCAAUUUGGAGUUUAUAAGAACUGUUCAGGGGAGACUUCCAGAACAAAGGAAUAUGGCUUUACCA